GUGGAUCGAUGAAGACCGCAGCUAAAUGCGCGUCAGAAUGUGAACUGCAGGACACAUGAACACCGACACGUUGAACGCAUAUUGCACACCGUACUACAGUACGAUGUACACAUUUUUGAGUGCCUAUAUUUAUCCAUUCAACUGUGCACGCCCCGCGUGUACGCGUAGUGACGUUUUCCUAACCGCCACCACCACCCCCGGUUUGGUAGUAAAACAGUAAAACGUUCAAGAUAGUCAGACGCGGCGCCCAGUGUUCGCCGGGCCGCCGCGGUUGAUGAAUACAUCCCAUAUCAUACGACCACAUCACCACCAUCAUCAUGGCCCUGUGUGUGUGUGUGUGUGUGUGUGUGUCGUUGUUGUUGUAUUCCAUCAUCCCAGAUGUAGGAUCCUCCUAUGUAGGCCUCAAAUAAUGUGUGACUACCCCCUAAAUUUAAGCAUAUUAAUAA
rnacentral:rRNA from 1 species